UGGGGAAUCUUGGACAAUGGGCGCAAGCCUGACCCAGCAACGCCGCGUGAAGGAUGAAGUAUUUCGGUAUGUAAACUUCGAAAGAAUAGGAAGAAUAAAUGACGGUACUAUUUAUAAGGUCCGGCUAACUACGUGCCAGCAGCCGCGGCAAUACGUAGGGACCAAGCGUUGUUCGGAUUUACUGGGCGUAAAGGGCGCGUAGGCGGCAAUUCAAGUCAUCUGUGAAAUCUCCGGGCUUAACUCGGAACGGUCAGAUGAUACUGCUUUGCUAGAGUGCAGAAGGGGCAAUCGGAAUUCUUGGUGUAGCGGUGAAAUGCGUAGAUAUCAAGAGGAACACCUGAGGUGAAGACGGGUUGCUGGGCUGACACUGACGCUGAGGCGCGAAAGCCAGGGGAGCAAACGGGAUUAGAUACCCCCGUAGUCCCUGAGCGGGCUGGCAAGGCGCAU
rnacentral:rRNA from 1 species